GGAAUUUUGGACAAUGGGGGCAACCCUGAUCCAGCCAUGCCGCGUGAGUGAAGAAGGCCUUCGGGUUGUAAAGCUCUUUCAGCCGGAAAGAAAUCGUACAGACUAAUACUCUGUAUGGAUGACGGUACCGGAAGAAGAAGCACCGGCUAACUACGUGCCAGCAGCCGCGGUAAUACGUAGGGUGCGAGCGUUAAUCGGAAUUACUGGGCGUAAAGGGUGCGCAGGCGGUUUUGUAAGUCAGAUGUGAAAUCCCCGGGCUUAACCUGGGAACUGCGUUUGAAACUACAAGACUAGAGUGUAGCAGAGGGGGGUGGAAUUCCACGUGUAGCAGUGAAAUGCGUAGAGAUGUGGAGGAACACCAAUCGCGAAGGCAGCCCCCUGGGUUAACACUGACGCUCAGGCACGAAAGCGUGGGGAGCAAACAGGAUUAGAUACCCUGGUAGUCCACGCCCUAAACUAUGUCAACUAGUUGUCGGGCCUUAACGGGUUUGGUAACGUAGCUAACGCAUGAAGUUGACCGCCUGGGGAGUACGGUCGCAAGAUUAAAACUCAAAUGAAUUGACGG
rnacentral:rRNA from 1 species